AACAACAGAACAGGCAGGCAGGCUGUGUUUGGCCCCCAAACUGCUUGCAGAGCCCGAAAGCUUGGGAGUAAAUACCAUUUCUUUGGCACCUUGUGAAAAGAUAUAAACACUCCGUAUCUCACCACGUUGUUAGUCUAUGGGUCCCACACUCCAGCAUACUUACACAUUACCGGGAAAGAGAGGGGAGAGGGCAGAGAGGACUGUGCCGAGGUGUUCAGAGAGAAGAAUUCGGGAUUCAAGCUGCAGAGGUGCGGAGGAAAGGGAGGGGAGGGCAGCCCAGAAAACAAGGGAGCUGCUCUGCCUGAGUUUCGGAAGAGAGGGCGUAGAAGACACACACACAUCUAAUUCCUUGCCUUGGCUGGAUAACUCGGCUGCGAAAGGUUUGGACACAGUGAGAAGUCGCUGUCUACACGUGAGGAAGAGAGCCCUAACUAGGAGCCAAAUCAGCUGGCACCUUGGUUUUGGACUUCCCAGCCUACAGAACUGUGAGAAAUAAAUGCCUAUUUUUUAAGACA